GACGAACGCUGGCGGCGUGCUUAACACAUGCAAGUCGAACGGUAAGGCCCUUCGGGGUACACGAGUGGCGAACGGGUGAGUAACACGUGGGUGAUCUGCCCUGCACUUCGGGAUAAGCCUGGGAAACUGGGUCUAAUACCGGAUAGGACCCUGGGAUGCAUGUCCUGGGGUGGAAAGCUUUUGCGGUGUGGGAUGGGCCCGCGGCCUAUCAGCUUGUUGGUGGGGUGAUGGCCUACCAAGGCGACGACGGGUAGCCGGCCUGAGAGGGUGACCGGCCACACUGGGAGUGAGAUACGGCCCAGACUCGUACGGGAGGCAGCAGUGGGGAAUAUUGCACAAUGGGCGCAAGCCUGAUGCAGCGACGCCGCGUGAGGGAUGACGGCCUUCGGGUUGUAAACCUCUUUCAGCACCGACGAAGCGCAAGUGGCGGUAGGUGCAGAAGAAGGACCGGCCAACUACGUGCCAGCCGCCGCCGUAA
rnacentral:rRNA from 1 species